CCUACGGGCGGCAGCAGUGGGGGAUAUUGCACAAUGGGGGGAACCCUGAUGCAGCGACGCCGCGUGGGUGAAGGAGUGCUUCGGUAUGUAAAGCUCUAUCAGCAGGGAAGAAAAUGACGGUACCUGAGUAAGAAGCUCCGGCUAAAUACGUGCCAGCAGCCGCGGUAAUACGUAUGGAGUAAGCGUUAUCCGGAUUUACUGGGCGUAAAGGGAGCGUAGGCGGCCUGCCAAGUCUGAUGUGAAAUACCGGGGCUCAACCCCGGGGCUGCCGUUGAAACUGGGGAUCUUGAGUGGGCGAGAAGUAUGCGGAAUGCGUGGUGUAGCGGUGAAAUGCAUAGAUAUCACGCAGAACUCCGAUUGCGAAGGCAGCAUACCGGCGCCCGACUGACGCUGAGGCACGAAAGCGUGGGGAUCGAACAGGAUUAGAUACCCGGGUAGUC
rnacentral:rRNA from 1 species